rnacentral:lncRNA from 1 species
CUCAGUGACCAUUGAGCAAGGCCACAUUCCUCACGUUCCACAGGCUUCUGUCUGGGGACUCCCCCAGCCACUUCUUCCUGUGGCUUGUGGGGGGGUCUCAGGCAUUGAUGCCUUCAUGCCGUUCAAUAGGCUUACUUCAAGUGUGCAGAGGUGGGGCCUCCGGAUGGCAGCCGAUGAGCAGAUUUCCUACAAGGCUCCAUGGACCAGAGCAGACUACAGAACUCUUCCUUUUCUUCCCCCAUAAUUUGAAAAGACAUUCAACAAGCUCAUCUUUCGGUUUAAAUUUGGCCAACGCCUUUAGCCGCCGGAUGUCUCAAAUUAUGAAUCCCGAAGCCCGGCCGCCUGCUCUCUCAUGCAUAACGUGUGUGGUAGAAGAACAAAAGCUGCCUUUCAGACUGAUGUGACCUCCAGCUUCGCUGGGUAGGUGUCGGGCUGACUCUCCAGGAGACGCUGUCACAAUUACACCUUGUGUAGGGCUUUCCAGCUUCCGUGCCUGGGACACAGCCUGGAGCCUGGGCAUUGUCCCCUUUCCCCGGUGCAGCCAAACAGGCAACCAGCUUGGUUAUUAGGAAGGGAUAACCUUGUCGGGACCUUCGUGCCCAGCCUUGGCGUGAUCAGUCUGCCGUGGCACACUAGGAGGUGGGUAGUAGUAGGUGGUCUUAAAACUAUAAAAAAAAUUUCAUUUAUUCUUUGACAGUUUUAUAGAUGUAAACCAUGUCUUGAUCCCGUGUACUCCCAGCUCAACCCUCCUCCCCCCUGAGAAUCCCAACACCUUCCCUUUGUCACCUUUUUUCAGGUUUUGUAACCCAGAGUCCAGUUAGUCGCCUGUUGGGAUGUUGACUGAUUCUGCCGGCUUGAUCUUUCCUAGGUAGCCAGGGCUGCAGUGAGUUCAUGACUGCUGUGGAUAUCCCGUCUAAAAGACAGCGCACCCCCUCUUCCCAGCGUUCCCUGAUCCUUGGGGAAGGGUAUGAGAAAGGUUGACAGGGACACACGCCCUUGUCCCAGCACUAACCUGUUAGGAGUCUGCAGUAAGGGCUGCCCGCUGCAAAGACAAACUAUAUUGGCCAAGGGUAAGAGCAGCACUGGUCUCUGGGUACAGACAUAAGUGUUCAGAAGGCAAUGUGGCACAUGUCCUCUGGCAAAACAACAGUAGCAUGUCACUGGCCCGUGACUGUUCUAACCAUGGAGUUUUGAGUAUUCCUUAAAUGCAAAAGAGGUUGGUUAUCUCCAUAACCUUCGUGGCAUCACUGCGCGAGUGGGCAUGUUGUGCAUGGUAGGUCAGUAUUGUAGCAUAGAGGAUUGGGUGCUGGCUAAGCCGACUGAUGUGUUUUCUCCCUCCACUGGCCUGCACAGCUCCUGACAGCACUGAAAGCUAGUCAACGCUUUUAGGAAGCUUUUGGGUCAUUCAGUUGGGAUGUCUGUCCUAACAACUAGAGUGUGUCUUCUGCAGACCUCCCUGACCAGUAAGUUGUAGGGAGCUAAUCUUCUGCUGUCCCACAUCUUCUAUGGGAUAUCUGAGGGACAGAGGAGAUAAGCAAGCUAACCUGGGGCUUACAUUCAGGAAGAGGCAAGUCUGGGAUUUGAGCCCCAGGGUAUCUGAAUCCAAAGCUUAGUUCUGCUACUGCAGACCAGCAGCACCAGUAGUACCUGGGAGCUGCUGCUGGGAGGUGCCCACUGCACAGAUCCACUGGUCAGAGCCAUCCUGUGUCUACUCAACUGGCUGCCCGCCUUGGGCUGCUGCUCCAGACAUGCCCAUCAUGGGACCCUGCCGAGCCAUGUGCCAGCUUGAGGAUGUCUUAUCAGAGGAGGGACAGUGGGUGCCAGUGGCAAGAGGAAUGGGGANGAAGGGGAACAUUUUGCAGUGUCACAUAGCUAGUUUGAGGUGAUGUAAUGGCUGCCAAGUAACCUCUGCCUCUUUCCUCAAAGAGAUUACCAUGGGCCUGAAACUCAGAUCCCGUGUGUUCAGUGUCCUGGGGUGGCCGUCCUUCUGUAGGUCACUAAGAACACUCAGAGAAUAUGGCCUUGCUCACUGGGAGCUCCUGGGCCCCUCUCAGAAUAGCAGCGUUAACCAAAUGCCAGCAUCCUACUGCCGGGGCAGCUUGGAGCUUCCAGCCUGGACAGAAGUGGGCUGGGACACAAGGCCACACCAAUGGACAACGAUCUGCUGAUUACCAGCUUGGCCUUGUCUGUGGAUGGCAAGAGGCCUCUGAUCUUGACCCUUAAUAGUCCAAGGGGCGGGGACAUGGUUCACAGAAGUCACUGGUUGUACAGGCUAGCCUAUGCCUGUGUGAUAUUGGGAACAGAGCCGAGGGGUGCUGCACGGGAUGCCAGGCGAGCCUCAAGAGAAGGAGCAGAAGGGUUGAAGAUGCUCUUGAUGCAUUGGUAACUCUGCUGCUGGGGACCCUGUCUGAGCCACUCCAUGACCAGGUGCCCAGGCACUACCUGGCUCCAUGUGGCUAUGACUGAAUCAUGGCGGAAGUAGAGGGUUUCUGAGAGCUCUCUGAGGAGGUCAGGAGCGACAGGUCACAGGCAGCACUGGAACUUGCAGAUCAUCAAGGCCCUGGUCCCACACUUCCCAGCAGGCACUAGUGGUGUGCUGGGUCAUCUACUCAGGCGUAAAAAUGGCAGCCCCGCAGCUCCUGCCCUCACUGGCUAAAACUGUGGCGUCUAACUCUACAUCCUGACCAAAGGUGUUGCUUUCCAAAAAUGUUUCCAAAUAAAGGUUCUAGAAUCUGUG